rnacentral:lncRNA from 1 species
UCACGUUCUAAGUGCUUUUUCAACCGAACUUGGAACUAAAGAGUCUCAAUUUCUGCAGAUCUGUGGCCCAAGGCAUUUGCUAUGGCACGUAUUACAGUUGCUCAUGUCAUUCUCAUGGUAACGUUUUUCCUGUAUAAGACACUAUUUUCCACUAGCCUGGAAAGUGGACAACCAGAUGUAGUGGAUGGUCUUGGAGCACAUAAUGUUCUGUGGCUUACCAAGCAUGGGUCAAGAGUUAUCUUGUCCUGGAACAAUAACCUGACAAAAGAAGAAACUGAGAAGUACACUGUGAAGUACAUUUUGAGUUAUAAAUUCUUCAAUACAACUCAUGAAAAGAAAUAUAUAUUCAGAAUUUUUCAUGCAUCAUAUAUAAUAUUUCUUUCUUCAAUUGCACCUGGCUUAUUAAAGCAGAAGCUCCUGAAGAUAUUCAGAUCUUUUUUUCAUACAGGUAAUGGUCUUGUGCAAAAUAAGUAUGAAACCAUGCUUUUGUACCUAAGUCCUUGAUUUACAAGACUCAUAUUUCCUUCUCACAGACACGUAGGAAAAGAUUUUGAAUGCCAGCAAUAUAUAAAAAAUGCAAGGAAGAAAAAUAUUGGAUGCCAUAUGAAAGAAAUAUAUUUCCAACCAUCAAGAAAAAUCAAUUUAAACAUAACCAUAAGAGAUCUGAGACAUAAUUCAGGAGGCCUGUCUUAUUACAAAGCUUUUACACCUCAGACAAUAGAGAAACUGAACCCACCGAUCAACGUCUCUGUUUCCCUUGAAAACAGAAGUAUUAAAAUUCACUGGAAACCCCCGCCUACUAUUGGUUCUGCAAGUAGCAAGUGCUUUUUGUAUCAAGUGAAAAUAACAGAUCGUAAGAUUGUAGAUGUCACUGCAGAGAAAUACGAGUGUCCAUUUCAUAAACCAGCGAAAAAAUGUGCAGUACAAGUGAGGGUAAAGAAAGAGGUAUGCAUAAGAAACAAGAUUUGGAGCGAAUGGAGUGAACCAGUGUUUAUUCACAAUGGUAAGUUAUCACGUAUUUACUAUUCAUAACCAUUAUCAUAUGUUAUUACCAUUCAAUGUAUUUACUUCAUUAUUGUGCCUGUUUU